UGAGCAUUCUGGACAAGGAACAACUAACUCUUGAUCCAUUUCAUCUUCAUGGUAGCGAUUCAGGUGAUUUUUGAACGAAUUAAGAAAUUUUGAUGAAAAUUUGCACAAGCUGCAGCAAUAUGGAUUUGUUCUGUAUCUCUGAAAAAUAAGAAAAAGGGGCAUCAUUUGUAGAACUCUCAAAUAACAUAAAUAUCAACUGGUCAAUGCAUAGUACCAAAAAAGCACCAUGGUCUUUUUAAUUGGAUAUAAACUCUUCUUCAGCAACAUUGUCCCAAUGAGAUACAUCACUCCAUGAAGUACUGGAGAAAUAUUUUUCUCCUGGAUCAAAACUUUUCAGAGUCUAAGAAAAAGCAAGGUGGGUAAGAAAUAGCUCAUAACUAAAAUAAAAUGUUACUUAAUGCAGUUACUUUAAAAUUAGACUGAGAUUCCAAAGCCUGGUGUAAUACCCCAACUUUUUCCCCCCAAAUCCUAUAGCCCAAGCAAACCACAAUUACCAAAAAGCAUAAUGUAUGACCUUUAUUAUUUUAAUUUUAAAAAAUCCACUCCAAACAAAAGGUGAAUUAUGGCCUCACGAACUUGGCAUUACCAUCCUGACCAUAACUGCUUUCACCUUCCUAAACGAUUUUCAAGAAUGGCUUUUGGCCAGCUAAAGUAGGCCCACUGAUAAAAUCAGUAAUUUUAUCUGGUUUGUGCCAAUCCAAGCUCAACACUUCACAUUCUCACAAUGCUGGGGGUCUUCAGUAGCGAAAUUUCUGGCUCAACUAUGGAGCAGGAAGGAAGCCUUGAAGUCAGUCACUGGGUGAGGAAGUCCCGAUUGAGGAAAAUUCUUACCUUGCCCUGUUUUCUCUCUCUUUUUGAAAUCAAGAUGGCAGGGCACUCUACCAUGGGUUUUUAAAUUAAGCAAAGAAAUGGUGUUGCAUCUUUCCUUAGAGCUUUUGUCCUCUCUCAGAAAUUCAUUAAGAAAGAACAAAAAAGGAAAGGCAGGGAUUAAGUGAGAUGUUGGUUGGAUGCUGCUUUUUGCAUUUCCCAAUUGGAUGGCAAGCUGGCCUGGCUCAUUAAUAGCACUAAAUGUUUGUGAAUAUGGUAUUCUGAUCUGUCACCGUAAUAAAGUAUUGAAAUCUUCUGAAGAUGGCAAGAGUGAAAGCUGUGCUGAUGCAGAAUCCCCUCUGAUAGUUUGGGAAAUGAAGCAGGAAGCACAGUGCAAGUACAAUUAAAUCUUAUAGCCAUGUUUUCAACCAUUUAGCAGUGAUAACCAACCCAACACCAGUAAUAUUUUCUCCCACCUACUUCUUAAUUCAAUCAAAUUAAUUGAUUUUUGAGGCCACCUAACUUCAAAAGGACUCAGAGCAGCUUACAAUAUUUAAAAUUUGAGGAAGAUUGGCUAUCUAGAAACACAAAAUAUAAAUAAAUAUAAAUAAAAGAUGAAUGUUCAGACACAUCAACAACAUUCACAAGAGAUUUGACAGGGGCUCCAAAAUACCCUAGCCCCAGUCCUGGGAACAAAACUAGGCCUUUAGGGAAUUCAAAAACACUUAAAGAGUGGGAAUCAUGCAUAUCUCUGAGGGAAUGUUGCUCCCAGAGGUACAUGCUUCCAUGUAUUCAAUAUGUUUUUUCCUGUUAUCAAUUCUAAAUGUAUAGUAAAACUAAACUUGAUGAAGUAUUAAUUCAACCAUGCAUUCAAUUUUUAAGAUUUCUCAUCAAUAUUGGAAAUCUAUGAUAAGUGAUAUUAAACACAGAAUAUAUUUUCUUCAGCUAAAAUGCAUGACAUCUAGUUAUGACAAAUACUUUCUCACAGGGUUGUUGUAAGAAUCAAAUUAGCAAAGGAGAGGAUCGUAUAUGAUGCGGUGAGCUUAUACAGGAAAAUCAGGAUAUAAAUGCAAUAUAAAAAUAACCAAAACAAACCAGAGAUUUAAAUAUCUAUAUUUAUCUAAGAUGUUACACUUGAUUUGGUAUUUUAUUCAUCUGAAAAGGUUUUGUUUAUGUAACUGAGGAAGCUUGUAAAAUUCAUGGAAUUUGCCUUGGUUUUAAGAUAUAAACUAUUAUAUUUUAAGACAAUUUUUACAUCGGUGUAUUUGACUAAUCUGUAUUCAUGCACACAUUAUAACUGUAAUAUUAAAAUAUGUUUAAUAUUGAAAA